rnacentral:tRNA from 1 species
UAGAAAAAUAAGCUAAAAAAGCUUUUGGAUUCAUACUUCAAAAAUAGAAUAAAAUUCUUUUUUCUAA